rnacentral:lncRNA from 1 species
UGGCGUCUUGCAGCAAUCUGUUCUUCCUUCUGGAUAGCUUGAAAAGAUUAGGCGCCACAUCCCUCGGUCUUAGGCCAUUGAUCCAUCCACUUUCCCAUAAUGAUGUUUUCUUCCCAUCUCAAAUUAUGAUCUUUGUGGCUGUCGCAGAUAGUUUGCGGUCCACUUGCGAACAUGGGACAUCGCCUCCCUCCCAAUGAGCAUCUUCGUUCAUCCAUUGGUACCAUAGCCAUCUCAGGCGCAGUGCUCUCGAGAAUUUUCCAAAGUGUAGCACUCCGAGUCCUCCCCCUCUCCAAGACCUGGCCGCCC